CUUCUCUCGUGCUUUAAUACGGAUACUAGAGCACUAGGGUUUUAUUCAACACAUGCAUAACAAUUACAUAAUUUAGAAAAUUAUAGCCACAAAUUAAUAUUUUAGUGUCAUAGACACAUAUUUUUGUGGCAAUAAUUUUACUUAAUUCUUAAAUGCUUCUUCUUAAGCUUUCUUUAGAGCCAUUGCAAUAGUUCGCACUGCAUCUUGUCAUGCAACUUUCAUACUUUUCCUUAUCUGCAAAAUUAAUCAAAAAGCAUAAUUCUUUAAAGUAAGAUUAAAUAUAUAUUGUAUUAUUAAUUAUGUCACACCCCUUUUUUUCACUCCUAAAAAGAAUUAUUUUAAAGUUUGAAAGGGUUUUUAUUAUUAAGUGACAAAAGAUUGAAAUUUUGUUUUGAAAAAGGAUUAUUUACAUGUUUUAUUCAGAGUCGCCACUUGACAAAUCCGGUGUGCCAAGUCACCUUUGAAAGAUCCUUUUCAAAACGAUUUGACUCUUUAAACUGGUUUGCGAACAGAGAUUCCGGCUAAGGAAUUCUGUUGACCGAGGGGAAGGUGUUAGGCACCCCUCGGUCCCGUGGUUUGACCAUGGUCGCUUGGUUGAGCAUAUCGGCUAAUUUGACACUACGAAUGUAUAAACCACACAAAAUCACACAAAACAAUCAAUCAAAUAAACAAAACAAAACAAAUCCAAAAUAUAGUGUCCAAUCCAAUUAUACAGUCCAAAAUAACAAAAUUGCGAAAAAUAUAAAUCCUAGUCUAACCUAUACUAAUCCUAAACUGUGUUUCCAUGCUCUACCCGAUGCCUCGGGACUUGAUCACGAACAACCUUCGAGUACAAAAUACUUCGGGGCAUUCCCCGGCGAAUAAACACAAAUACUCCGGGGCAUUCCCUGGCCAAAUGAUACACUUGAUCCAAAAAAAAAAAAUCCAUUCAACACAUAUUUCAAGCAUUCAAUAUUCCAAGAGUCCUAAAUUUGCCUACCCGACCUACUUUGCCAAUCAAUUCUCGGCCUAAACAUUGUAUUAUCGAAGUUAUCCAAAAUCGAUAUCUAUUCCAAUUAAGAUUCAACAAUCAUGAAUCAAAAUGCAACAAUAUUUACUUUAUCAAUUUUUCGAUCUCUUUCCCCAAAAUCCAACUUAACCCCAAAUCAAACUACGUGAUUAACAUACUUUGCAACAAGAUGGACAAUUAAAUAAUGAGUGAAAUUGCUCCAAUCAGAAUCAACCAAAAUCACACUAUUCAAAAAUAUUCACAAAAAAUAGGAACAAAAGAUGAAGAAUCGACCUCAAUUGAUGACUUUAUUUCGACAACUUGCGAUGGAUCGGAGCUCGCAAAUGGGACCUCAUCGAAACCUCAAAUAGAAAUGGAUCACAAUGGAAAGCAGUCAAAUUUGCUAGUUUUCCCUCAUUCAAACCACUCAUUGUUCUCGAUCUUUUCAUCGAUUUCAGCUCCUCCGGCCAGCACUCUCUCUCGAUUCGUUUUCUUCCUCACGCAGAUCUCUCUCUACCUCUCUUGAAUCUUUUCUCUCUCUUGGUUGCUCUCCACGUUUCUCUCUCUAUCUCUAUGAUUUCUGUGUGUAUGUGUGUGUGCGAUUUAAGGUGUGUCUGUGCGUGUGUUGCGGAAAGAAGAAAAGAAGAGAGCCAAAAUGGCAUCUCUUUAAAGAUGAUGAUAAUCUUUC
rnacentral:lncRNA from 1 species